CUCACGAACUGUGAGAUCAUGACCUGAGUUGAAGUUGGACGCUUAACUGACUGAACCACCCAGGCGCCCCAAUUUGUAGGUAUUUUAGAGUUGUGAUUAUUAUGUGUCAUUUUUCCAUUAUAUUUUUGAAAUGGUUCUUAAUACAUAGUAAAAUUAUGAUUUUUGUAUAUUCCUUUUGUACUUAGUAUCUUGUAUUAUUGUACUUUGUUUACUUAACUCUCCCCCAUUUCUGGGCAUUAGGUUGUUCCCAAGCUUUGAGGAUCAUAAUUAGCCUUGCUAUAAACAUCUCUAAACAGGUCUCUCCAUAAGGCAGCUCACAACAUGCUGUCUACCCUUGCAGUGAGUGGAGAGAGAACAUGAGAAGGUGCCCAAGACAGAAGCUUCGGUCUUUUUAUAACCUCAUGUCAGAAGCAAUAUCCUGUCAUUUGUGCUGUAUUAAAUUAGUUAGAAGUGAGUCAGUAGCUCUAGCCCACAGUCAACUGGAGGUGAUUACACCAAGGAGUGAAUACCAGAAGUUUUAGUACACGUGCUACCCAAGCGAGCACAGGAGUCGCAGAAUCCGAAGCAGGCUCCAGGCUCCGAGCUGUCAGCAUAGAGCCUAACUUGGAGCUAGAACCCAUGGACCACGAGAUCAUGACCUGAGCUGAAGUUGGAUGCUAAACUGACUGAGUCAUCCAGGCACCUCAAAUGUAAACUAUUAUUAAUAGUGUAAACGUGUAGUAAGUUUUUGUUAACCUCACUCUAUGCCUGUUCAAGUCCCCCUUGCUCUUGGUCUCAUCCUCUGUCUGUUGCCUCCUCCUUUCCUUAAUAAGUGUAAAUGGCUUGGCCCCCACUUGGGCUCUCUUCCCCUCCUCCAUUGUCCUUCUCUUCAACCUUCCUAACCCAGGUUUAAUGCGGCUGUCUCCUCCAUACCUAUACCAUGGCUGCAGAGCUCUGCGAAGAUGAUAUCUAUUGUACAACUUGCAUUUCUCCUACAUCAGUUCAUCCCUCAGUGUGUCCUGCAACUAUUUCUGUUUCUCAAACCAGAGCUUUCUGCUUAAUAUAUGUAUCAGCAAA